rnacentral:rRNA from 1 species
CGGGUGAGUAAUGCGUGACCAACCUGCCCCAUGCUCCAGAAUAGCUCUUGGAAACGGGUGGUAAUGCUGGAUGCUCCAACUUGACGCAUGUCUUGUUGGGAAAGUGUUUAGUGGCAUGGGAUGGGGUCGCGUCCUAUCAGCUUGUAGGCGGGGUAAUGGCCCACCUAGGCUUCGACGGGUAGCCGGCCUGAGAGGGCGGACGGCCACAUUGGGACUGAGAUACGGCCCAGACUCCUACGGGAGGCAGCAGUU